GUGCCAGCAGCCGCGGUAAUACAGAGGGUGCAAGCGUUAAUCGGAUUUACUGGGCGUAAAGCGCGCGUAGGUGGCCAAUUAAGUCAAAUGUGAAAUCCCCGAGCUUAACCUGGGAAUUGCAUUCGAUACUGGUUGGCUAGAGUAUGGGAGAGGAUGGUAGAAUUCCAGGUGUAGCGGUGAAAUGCGUAGAGAUCUGGAGGAAUACCGAUGGCGAAGGCAGCCAUCUGGCCUAAUACUGACACUGAGGUGCGAAAGCAUGGGGAGCAAACAGGAUUAGAAACCCCCGUAGUCC
rnacentral:rRNA from 1 species